CCUACGGGAGGCAGCAGUGGGGAAUCUUGCGCAAUGGGCGAAAGCCUGACGCAGCAACGCCGCGUGUGUGGUGAAGGUCUUCGGAUCGUAAAGCACUGUCGCGAGGGAAGAGAAGCCGAGGGUGAACAAUCCUUGGAUAGGACGGUACCUCGAGAGGAAGCACCGGCUAACUCUGUGCCAGCAGCCGCGGUAAUACAGAGGGUGCGAGCGUUGUUCGGAAUUAUUGGGCGUAAAGCGCUUGUAGGCGGCCGUUUAAGUCUCAUGUGAAAGCCCUAGGCUUAACCUAGGAAGUGCAUGAGAUACUGGAUGGCUUGAAUGCCGGAGAGGGUCGCGGAAUUCCCGGUGUAGAGGUGAAAUUCGUAGAUAUCGGGAGGAACACCAGUGGCGAAGGCGGCGACCUGGACGGACAUUGACGCUGAGACGCGAAAGCGUGGGGAGCAAACAGGAUUAGAUACCCUGGUAGUCCACGCUGUAAACGAUGGGUGCUAGUUGUGGUGGGUGUUGACCCCUGCCGUGACGCAGCUAACGCAAUAAGCACCCCGCCUGGGAAGUACGGCCGCAAGGCUAAAACUCAAAUGAAAUUGACGG
rnacentral:rRNA from 1 species